CUCUGGGGCUGUGAGGCUGUGCUGCUGGUAGUGGUUUUGCUCCAGCUGCAGUGGCUGGGUUAAAUGCUGAACCUGCUAGGGUAGGUGUUCGCACCUGUGUAGGGCUUGGAGGUCAGGGCCAGCAGGAGUCCUGGCUGGGCACAAUAUGGGUGGUUGUGGGGAGGGGAGGUGGUGUGGGCAUCUCCUUCCUGCAGGCCUGGGGAGAUAAGGUCAGUUGAAAAGCUGGUCCUGUUCUCCAAGGAUAAGGAGGUGCUGCCUAGUGCUCAGAGUCUACACUGAAGUCUACAUCCAGGAGCUUCUGGCAGUUUGUGCAUUGCUGGGCAGUGAAGUUCGGUCUUCUGGUGAGCGGUGUAUCCAACUCUUGCAGGAAUGGUUGUAAAAAUUAGUUGCUCAGUUUUAAGUUCUUUUCUGUGAUUGAGGGCAUGAACUAUGCAAAUGUUCAUGGCAUUCAUCCAUGAUGAGCUCAGUAACACUAGCCAGAGGGACACAGGGGCUGUGUGAUGAGUUUAGAAAGAUAUGUGCCUGGGAACAGGCGAAAGCUGCUCAGGGUAUUUGUGUCCCAACAUCCUGGGUCCAUUACCUCCUGCGUUGUGUGAUUCCUCAGAUGCAGUUGCUCCUUAAGGUUUCAGAAAUGGAACAGAAACAACAAUAUCAUUCUGGUGUAUCGCUGCAAAGCUUACAGAUGCGUGUUGAACAAAAGUCUGAACAUGGAGCCAUGGCUGUAUGAGGAAGCUUGGUCUGCUGCAAGAUAGAGAAGAGCAAAUGUUGUGUUUGGCCACAGGAUGGGUUAUCAGUGCAUCACUGGCUUGUUCAAGCUUGUAAACUGAUAUUAUAUGUAAGUUUGUGUGGGUGAAUAAGGAAUAAAAGGAAGCAAACACUUAGGAUGAAGUUGGGU
rnacentral:lncRNA from 1 species